rnacentral:rRNA from 1 species
CCUACGGGCGGCAGCAGUGAGGAAUAUUGGUCAAUGGGCGCGAGCCUGAACCAGCCAAGUCGCGUGAGGGAAGACGGUCCUAUGGAUUGUAAACCUCUUUUGUCGGGGAGCAAAAGACGCCACGCGUGGCGUUCCGCGAGUACCCGAAGAAAAAGCAUCGGCUAACUCCGUGCCAGCAGCCGCGGUAAUACGGAGGAUGCGAGGGUUAUCCGGAUUUAUUGGGUUUAAAGGGUGCGCAGGCGGAUGUUCACGUCGGCGGUAAAAUUGAGGGGCUCAACCUCUUCGAGCCGUUGAAACUGGUUUUCUUGAGUGAGCGAGAGGUAUGCGGAAUGCGUGGUGUAGCGGUGAAAUGCAUAGAUAUCACGAAGAACUCCGAUUGCGAAGGCAGCAUACCGGCGCUCAACUGACGCUCAUGCACGAAAGUGUGGGUAUCGAACAGGAUUAGAUACCCUUGUAGUC